AGAAUGAUUAAAUCCCUGGGCUGGGAUGAAGAAUGUCAGGCAAACUGCACUGCAGUAGAAGAAUGGGGCCUGGCUGUGGUGCCAGAAGGGGAAUUCCUCCGAGACGGUCAUGAACCCAGCCUUUGGGAUCUGGGUGAGGAUACAGCUGGAAGGUUCCGGAACACCAUGCCACCGUUUAUUAUUGUAAUCUUGAACUCAUUGUCAGAUAGUGACCUUCCUUAAAACCUUGAUGAAUGUGGAUGGAUCAAAAGGAAAAGAAAUGGACAAAGCUGGCUCAUUUAUUGCUCUGUGGCUGAGAGAAACGGAUUUAAAACCUGGUUUAAAAUCUAGGCCAUAGGGCCAUUGAAACCAGCGAUUCAUGGUUGUGACAUGAUCUCUUGGGAUUUUCAGCCCUUUCCAGUCUUGAUGCUUUAAGAGGACACUUGACCUUCCACCCAUUCAGCCACAGAGACAAGUGGAGUCUAGCCAUCCUACUGCUUAGACCAGGAAAAUGGGAGUCAGGACUCCUGGCUCUUCAUGAGAAGUGUGUCUAGUGGUUAGAGUCAGAGACUGGGCUGGGAGAAGAGAGGGUGUCUAGUGCUUACAGCAAGGACAGGGGGAAGACUCCUGCAUUCCAGCCCCCCUUCUGGGAGGUCAGUGGUAUCUAGUGAUUAGGGCAGAGGAGAAUGGUAGACAGGACUCCUGAGUUCUUCUAUUUUCCAGGUCAGAGUCAGAGACUGGGAAUCAGAUCUGGGGAGCAGAGAGGUCUAAUGGGUUAGAGUAGGGUGGCACUGGGAGCCAGGACUCCUGGAUUCUAUUUCCAGCUCUGGGAGGGAAGUGGUCUCUAGUGAUUAAAGGUGGGGGUGUCUGGGCUCUGGAGUUCCAUUCUCAGAGCGUGUGACCUUGGGCAAUCAUGGGUGGUAAAGCUUCAUUGGUUGAGUUUUAGAAAACACUUUGUAAUCUGGUGCUAGUGAGAUGUAGAGUAUCAUUGCACUGCCCUGAGAGAGAUUAAAAACUGAAGGUGACAUGGGGAAAGAUGACAUCUGGAGUGGGGAAAGACAGUAAGCACAGUUGCACCUCCAUCCUUCCCAUCAGGGUCUUAAAGGUCCCAUUCAACCACAUGGACACAGGAUACUAUUAAUAACCCACUCUGUCCCUGUCCUGCUCAAGAGGAUUAGUGUAGAGAAAUUCUUCCCUAGUCUCUGCUGGAGGGAUAUAGGGGGCAUAGAUGAGCAUCUCUCUAAGGGGGUUAUAUAGGAUCAAUUACCAUAAAAUCUGGGCACCUCACAAUAUUUUAAUUGGGGCUAUCAAGUGAUUUAAAAAAUUAAUCACGAUUAAUCACACUGUUAAAUAGAAUACCAUUUAUCUAAAUAUUUUUGGAUGUUUUCUACAUUUUCAAAUAUAUUGAUUUCACUUACAAC
rnacentral:lncRNA from 1 species